AAAAAUGAUAAGUUUGUGUGCCCUCGACAACUUAAUCCGAAUGUCCGGUUAUCUUUUUCCUCAAGUUGACACUCAAGCUGAUUCUUUUAUUGGAUUUACAAAUGGUUAAGGAAUUGUUGAUUCAACUUAGUUGAAUUGGUAUAGUUAACAAAUAAAAAUAAAAAUAAAAAUCAGAAAAGCCUGGCCAUGUCAAUAAGAAAGCAAGACUGAGCUAUCAAAACUUGUUUGACUCAGCCGGGGCUGACUCAUUUUUGGCUUGAGCAGGUUCUGUUCCAAUUUUCUUAGGCACUGUUUUCCACUACACAAAAACUAUUUCUCCUCGUUUCCCUCUACCUCUCUACCUUGUGCACUAUGAACAGAUCAGACAACCUGGAGUUCAUGAUCCGUGCUUGAAGUUGGUUAGCCAUGGGGUUCUUUAGCUGGAUUCUUGGCCUUGUUUUGUCUCAUCUGCUGUAUUAGAGUAGUGCCUGUAGUUAGGGGUUGAGCUGCUGGUUAUUUGUUGGUCUCUCUGUCGGUGUUGUUCCCUUUUUUUUUUUUAAUUAAUAAAAGUAACCGUUCAUAAAAAAAGGGCUACUGCUGGGUCCACCUAGGUUUCACAUGUCAGAAAGUUUGUUUUAGAUCAGUUUAGGGUUUUCAUAAUUAUCUUACUGUUUUUAGUACGUCAAUAUUGAUUGGGUAGAGUAUCAUGAGGUCCAUAAGGAUCACACUUGUUUAAUAGAAGGGGUUAUAGGCUGUAUCUCAGUGGGGGCAGAUUUUAGGAGUCUUUGAAAAUGAUAUGGUCAAAAGAAUCCAGGACUAAUAGUUAAGUACUUGCUGUUUUAAAGAGUCCUUAAGUUAUUAUGCUAUCUAUGAGUGGGAUUUUGAUGAUGUAUUGAUGCCAAAUUAGGUUUUCUGUAAUAUCUAGCUAACCAGCUAAAAAUAUGGAUUGAAACACCAGUUUCCUUAUUAAAUUGAGGUCCCAUUGACUUAUAGUCAUGGUUCUGGAUAUCGGUAUCGGGGGCCGUAUCAGCACGGCCAAAAACCAAUACAAUACGGGCAUCGUUGCCCCCGUUGUGUAUCGAUAUCAUUCCGUAUCGGACAAUAUCGGUCCGUAUCGGUCAAAUUUUUUUAUAAGGCCAAAGAAUUAAGAAAAAUAUAAUGAAAAGAGAGAAUAAUAAAAUAUUCAAGAAUUGAUCUUUUGUUUUUUGUAUUUUGGACAUGCAUAUAAUGGUUGAUUGGACCAUUCUUUGAUGAGAAUGUUGCCUGUCAAUUUGACUUGUUGAAGGUCAACUAAAUGGGCCCUAAUUGAACACAAUAUCACACUUGAUUUAGUGAACUAGUGCUCAUUGCAUUGAAAUACAACAAAAAGAAGAUUAAAAUAUAAAAAAGAAAGUGAAGGUUUACCAUUCUUUCUGAUUUUUCCCAUAAUGGUCCACUUCGCUUCGAUUUGUCGAAUCCCAUUCAAAUCAUUUGUUUUGAUCCCAGAAUAGGUCUAGAUAUAGCCUAAAAUGAGUUUGUAAGCUUCUUCCAUGGUUUAAAUGAAAAGAAGAAGAUGAGACAUGAGUGAAAUUAAUUUUUGUUUUUCAAAAUUGGGCUUUUAUGGGCGUAUCGGCUGAUACGGCCUCGUAUGGCCGAUAGAGGCCAAUACAGGUUAGUUUUUUCGUAUUGGGCUGAUACGGCCCCGUAUUGCAUACCAUCUUGAGCCGAUACAGAUACGAUACGGCCGUAUCGACCAAUACGAUACUAAUAUUCAUAUCUAUACUUAUAGUAGAGGUCUUUUAAGGGUUUCUAUUGAUUGCAAGUGGUUCCACCUCUUAGUAAACGUCUUGAUGUUAAUUUUGGUGUUGGGUUGUCUGCAUGUUAAUUUUUCAAUGGGGUUUAGUCUAGGAGCCUAAAAUAAUCUAAAGUGGGGUUCCAUGCUUGGGUUAUUGAGCCUAACAUACAGGAAAAUAGAUGCCGUAUGGCUUUUAGAUUUGGAUUGAAUAAAACCUUUUUCUUCAAUUCUUGCAACUGGUAUUUUCUUGCCCAGAAGUGACACUCCUAUAGGUCCACUCUUCUAGUCUAGUGGUGUGGUGCCAUUAGAACUUUUUCUCUUUCUUUCCUUUUUUGCCCAUUAUUUAUCUAUGUGUGAAGUUUAUCUUCAGAUCUUAAAGAAUAGCUGCUGGAAUUUUUUAUCCUAAUCUGCUAUAAUUCUUGUUCUUUUUUGUUUUUUGAAGGAUAACAAUAUUUUAUUACAGCAAGGCGUAAUGAUGAUAAGGCAUAAUCCCAAAUACAAUCAACACCCCAAAAAGCCCUUGUAAAGUCCCCAUGAUUGUUCCCAAAGAUCUUUGAUGCACAAACUCACUCGAUAAUAAGACGUUUAGCUUUGAGAAAAAAUACAUCCGGAGGACAAGUCAUACCCAACGUAUUCCGUAACGGUAAUGGUAGCCAUAACGGCUACCAUUGUUACCUUUAUGAUACGGGCUGUAACGGCCCUUACAGCCCCCCAUAACAGCCAUUACAGUUUCUCUUUCUCUCUCUUUUAAAUUUAAAAAACUCAGAAAACCUGUAUUGUCCCCAUAAUGGACUAUUACGAGGCCGUUACGACCUUUAUGGGCGGUGUAAUAGGCUGUUAUGGGGGCUAUUAUGAGUCAUUUUUUCCACAACGGCCGUUACAGCUGUUACGACCCUAUAACGUGUAAUGGUUGCCACUGUUACCUUUACGUAACAGCCUUUACGGCUGUUAUGACACACUAUGUUCCUACCCUGAAAGAUACGGUUGUUGUGUUCAAGCCAAAGCGCCCCAAAACAUUGCCAGGAUGGACAAUCAACAAGUUGUCGAUCAUCUCUUGCCAUCCUUCCUUCCUCCCAUGCCUAGCACUCAAAAGCUCACCCAUGGAAUAUGACAUUGCCCACUCCAUAUGGAGGAAUAGGAACUUCCACAAGAUAUGUUGAACAAAAAGGUAGUGAAUGAACAAAUGAUUCACCGACUUCAUAUCCUUCAAACAAAAUAUGCACCCAUUUGUGAUGAUCAUCCUUCUUCCUAAGAUUAUCAAUUGUGAACCCCUUGAUUUACCAACCAACCAUGCAAAGGCAAGGACUCGAGGUGGACCCUUAUACUUCCAUACAAAAGAAAUGGGAUCCAAGGGCCAAGGAUGAGGUUACCAAACGACAACCAAGUAAAAUGAUCUGACUGAAAACCGGCCCAAUUAUCAGCCUUCCAAACCCAAGCAUCUGAAUAUGAAAGUGUGAUCUUAUCUUGAUGGAUGAGGCCCAUAAGGCAAGUGAAGUCUUCAAUCUCUUCCUUAGUCAAGGAUACGAUCCUUGAUAGAGUGGACCGGUAGAACAUGAUUUGUGUAGCUGACCCCAAUUAGUUUGGAUUAGGCUUAGAUGAUGAUUAUGGUGAUGAUGAUGAUGGAAUAGUGGAUUCACACCAGCGAAACCAAAAGGAAUAAAAAAGCAUCUCACUACUAGACCAUGCUUCCAAUCACAAUAACCACACAAAAGACAGCAAUUUUCAAUUGAAUAAUUUAUAGCAUAAUAUCUAAAAUUUCAUUUGCAUGGCUAUAUAUAGCCUUGGUACAUGGUCCAACUUAUAGUUAAAGAAUCUUAGGCUUGAAGCCUAUUGGUCCAAAAUUCCUUCCAUAAUCUUUCUCAAUCUACCCUAAAAUUUGUAAUAGAAAUAAAAGAAUUAAACUAAAGAAGGAAACAACCUUAAAGAAUCCAAACUCUGCCAAAAGACUUGUAAAUAAAGAAGGGAACUAAAUAUGUGAGGAAACAAAUUGAAAGUGUCCAAAUGCUUGAAAGUUGUAUACACAACAAUUUUUGGGGUUUAUAGGCCUUGUAUGAUUGUACAAGGGCCUCUUUACACUUAUGCGGUUUGCAUAUCAAGCCACGGAGCCUGGACGACAUUUGAUUGGACCCUUGGGUCAAUCGAUCCGUUAGAGGGGCAUCUUCAAUCAGACCAUUGAUUUUGUUCAAAUCUGUGAUCAGACCCUUGAUCUGAUCUAGAAGAUCCUCAAUCGGGUCUCAUUUGAUAUGAUGAAAAUAACCCCCAAAACCACCCAAAUCUCUCCACAAUUCUAGCCCACUCUCAGUUUUGCCCCUGUCCAUAAUCAGCCACAAAACCAUUCUGAGCUGGGAAAACUCUAAAACAGUCCCCAAAUCUUCCCCGUCUCAGCCCAUUCCCCAACCAAAUUUGAUACCAAAAUUUGAUGUCCGCUCAAGCGGUACAUCUUUGAGCCCUUACAUUGUGGGAGAAGGUUGGAGUGAGGUAUUGAUGAUGGUGCAACAGCUGUCGGAGAAGUGGAUGCUAGGGUAAGCCAAUUGGAUCUUAAAGCCAUGAGGAGAUUUAUUUAGAACUAGAUGCAAUUUACAAGGAAAGAGUGUUCAGAUGAUAAUGGAUGGAAAUAGUUGUGGUAGUUCAUCUCUAGUGAGGUGAUAAUGAGAUUGUCGAAGUUGGGAUAUUUUCCCAAAUGUCAGGAAUAUCCAACUCGACGAUACCUUUUAAUUUAUUCCUUUGGAGAAAAAUACUUCUGAGGGCGGGUGGUGCAAGGUCACUCCAAUGAUCCUUUCCGAUAUCAUUGGCGGAAAACCAUGGACAUAGAAGCUAAAAGCCAUCCAUGGUGCGGAGAAGAACACUUGCACAAUCAUGAAGGAUAAACGGGCAAUGGGAGAAUAUACUUGAAUACUUUGCAUCAUCCUGCUCUUCAUGAAAUUUGUAGUUGCGAGGAGCAAGAGGGUGACUGGUAUGAUGAAGGAGACGUCAUAGAGGAGGUCGAACAAGAUGAUGACCUAGAGGAGAUGAUGACUAUGCAUUGGAUGGCCUUAUGGAAAAUCUGCUACUGCUGGUCAUUCGAUGAACAUUGAACACUCUUAGGGAGGCAGAAAAAGAUUUUUGGUUUGCGAACCAAUAUUUUCCACACAUGAGUGAGUUGUGGUGGAGGUGUGAAAGUCAUCAUAGAUGAAGCAGCAUGAAUGUGGCUCCACAGGAGAUGAUAGGCAUGUUGAAGCUAAAUAUAAGCACCCGAAGCCUUGUUAAAUUGCUGCAUACCUCCAAUGACUAAGGGCCUGUUUAGUUUGCUGUAAUUACAUGUAUUUUCAUGUAAUUUCUCUCACAUAAGCAUUAAAUGCAUACAUCAAACAACACCGCAUGCAUUUGAAAGUGAAGAAAGUGAAGAGGAGUUGGCCCGGAUCAAAUUUCAUGAUAAUUCGAAGCCAAAGUUUGGUGUGCCCCACCAUGAUAUGUGUUAUAUCCACUCCAUUCAUUCCUUAGUCAGAUCAUUUCAGUGCAUGGGCCCAAAAAUGAGGCAGAUUCAAAGAUCAAGUGGACCACACUACAUAAAAUACUGGAGAUUGAAUGCUAGCCAUUUAAAUGUUCUUCCCAGAGUGUGGUCCACUUGAGCUUUGGAUCUGUCUCAUUUUUGAAGGCAUAUGCUAGAAUGAUUUGGCCAAAUGAAUGGACGGCACAGACAAAACAUACGCAUCAUGGUGGGACCCAUAGAGUCCAUCUUGUUUUCCAUACCUAAAAGUUAUUGCUGUCAAUGUCAUGCAGCAUCCCUUCCAUCACAAAUUCAUGUAGCAUGUAAUUAAUGCUUAAAAAGUGUAAAAUACACUGCAAUUCCCCUGAAAUACAUCCAACCAAACAGGCCCUAAGCGGAUUUGGUGAACUUCUCACUGGGUGUGCAUUAUCAGGACUCUAUGGUUCAACAUUAUUCAAAUGAAAGUCAAACAUUUUAUUAGGUUGACAUUGGUUGUUUGAUAGGGAGGUAGACCGUUCAUGAUACAAGAAUACCAUGCCUUUGUGUUUAAAGUUAAGCAUAUCACUCUCAAUUCAAUGAGAGAUUAAGAGCCUAAAGAGAAAAAAAAAGCAACUUUUUGUCUCGUAGCAUGACAUGGUUUAUUGAGGAGAUCCUAAGUCUAUGCAUGCACUGAUAGGUCCUGAUUGCAAGUGUGAGUCAUUUGGAGACUUUCCCAUUCUGCCACCUAAGAUUUAUUGUCCAGUUUCAAGACUUGAUAGUAGAGCUGCUAGAUGAGCUUCCACCUAUGUAUGAUAUUCAACACGCAAUAGAUUUGGUGUUAGGGCCUCAUAGCCAAAUCUUCCACCAUCAUGGUAUGAAUCUGACAGAGCAUGCAGAGUUCACCUACAGAUAGAGGAUUUAUUAUAAAAAAGGAUUUAUUUGAAAAGUCUAGGCCCAUGUACUACACCUGUUCUAUUGAUGCUGAAGAAGGAUGGCCAUUGGAUGAUGUGCUUAGAUGGCUGAGUCAUUAAUAAGAUACAAUUAAGCAUCGGCUUCCUGUCCAUGACUAGGUGAUAUGUUAGAUUUGACAGAUUCCACAAUCUUUUCAAAGAUUGAUUUGAGGAAUGACUUCCACCAGAUUAGGAUCCGACUAGGCAAUAAGUGAAAGAUAGCGUUCAAGGUGAAACACGGUUAUAACCAUUCAAAAAAGAAAAAAAAAAAAAGAAAAAAAGAGAGAAAAAAGAUGUGUUGGUUAUAUGAAUGGGUAGUCAUGCCUUUUGGAUUAGCCAACUUGCCUAACAACACCUUCCAUGAUGCACUUCCUAUGGCCUUUUUGUGAGCAAGUAUGUCAUUGUCUGCUUUGACUGUAUCCUUGUUUAGAACCGUUUGCAUGAGGAUCAUUUGAGUUAACUUCAACAAGUUAUGGACUCUUAUGCCAAGGAAAGCAAGCAUUAUAUCUACCUGAAGAAAUGUAUUUUCAUGAGUCCUUGGUGUUUUAUUUAUUUAUUUUUUGUUUUUUGGAUUUUUAGUAUCUUCUGAAGGCGUUAAUGCCAACCUAGAAAAGGCACAUGCUAUUGGAUUGGCCCUUUCUAACUAGCAUAACUGUUGGUCAUAGUUUCCAUAGGCUGGCAACAUUUUAUUGGAGGUUCAUCAGAAACUUUAAUGGUCAUAACCCUGAUUACAGUCUAGGAGUCAAGCCCUUUUGAGUUGACCCAAACAAUCGACUAAAGUCUUUGAGGAGAGAGUGCAAGGUGACAAAAGUGCCUAUUCUAUGCCUUCUUGACUUUGAGCAGGUGUUCAAAGUUGCUUGUGAUAUUCUCAUGUAGGCAUUGGUGUUGUUCUCUGUCAGCAAGGGAAAUCCAGUGACCUUCUUCAACAAGAAUCUCAAGAACACUCGUAAAAGAGAGUUGAAUUCUAGAGGUUUUACUGGUAAUUUGGCCAGGAUAAGACAAAUACGUUCAUAGAGGAUGUUUUAUAUUAGCCAAGCCUGAAGAAGAAUGCAAGGGCCCUCAUCAAGCGGUGUUGAGCAUGUCAGUUAGGCAAGGGAUGUCAGCUGAAUACUGACUUUUCUACUCCACUUUCAAUGCUCACCGCGUGGGAAGACAUUAGUAUGGAUUUUGUCCUAGGAUUAUCCAAGACUCUCCGCAGCUGCGAUUCAAUCUGUGUUGUGUGUAUUUGGUUUUCUAAUAUCCUUCUAAGAAGGCAUCAUCGGGUGUGUUACGCAUUGCCAAUUUCAUCUUCGAGGAAGUGGUUCUGAAAGACACUACGAGCAAUGACUUCAUGAGCUACUUUGGAAAGACACUAUGAGCUAAGGUGGGGAUGACACUAAAGUUCUCUACUACGGACCAUCCUCGAAUUGAUAGUCAAACAAAGAUGUACUCAGUCACAAGCUUGAAAUCUUGUGUUGUGUAGUUGGUGAUUGCAUUACUACACGGGACCAAUACCACCACAAGCUACGUUCGCCUAUGAUACUUCUAUCAAUCUCACGACAGGACACUACUUUCUAGAUUGCUUGUGCAUUAAACCUUGGCAGCUCAGCUUAUUGAUUUAGUUCCUCUGCCUGUCAAGUAGAGCAAGAUAGGAUGCAUCGGAUUUUUUUCUUUCUUUCUUUCUAUUCUCAUAAAUAAUGCAAUUUUUUUGGAAGAAAAGCUAUUUAGGUGA